UACGGAGGGUGCAAGCGUUAUCCGGAUUCACUGGGUUUAAAGGGUGCGUAGGUGGGUCUGUAAGUCAGUGGUGAAAUCCCCGAGCUUAACUUGGGAACUGCCGUUGAUACUAUAGAUCUUGAAUAUCGUGGAGGUAAGCGGAAUAUGUCAUGUAGCGGUGAAAUGCUUAGAUAUGACAUAGAACACCAAUUGCGAAGGCAGCUUACUACACGAUCAUUGACACUGAGGCACGAAAGCUAGGGGAGCAAACAGG
rnacentral:rRNA from 1 species